CUACCAUGCAGUCGAGCGAAGUGAGAUUAGAAGAAAUCUUCGGAUGGAAUCUAAACUUAUCUUAGCGGCGGACGGGUGAGUAACGCGUGAGGAACCUGCCUUUCACAAAGGGAUAGCCUCGGGAAACUGGGAUUAAUACCUUAUGAAACUAUAAUAUCGCAUGGUAAGAUAGUUAAAGCGAAAGCGGUGAAAGAUGGACUCGCGUCCCAUUAGUUAGUUGGUGAGGUAAAGGCCCACCAAGGCAGCGAUGGGUAGCCGGCCUGAGAGGGUGAACGGCCACACUGGAACUGAGAGACGGUCCAGACUCCUACGGGAGGCAGCAGUGGGGAAUAUUGCACAAUGGAGGGAACUCUGAUGCAGCGACGCCGCGUGAACGAAGAAGGCUUUCGGGUCGUAAAGUUCUGUCCUUGGGGACGAUAAUGACGGUACCCAAGGAGGAAGCCCCGGCUAACUACGUGCCAGCAGCCGCGGUAAUACGUAGGGGGCGAGCGUUGUCCGGAAUUAUUGGGCGUAAAGGGUUCGCAGGCGGUUACAUAAGUCAGAUGUGAAAGCCAUAGGCUUAACCUAUGUAAGCAUUUGAAACUGAGUAACUUGAGUUAAGGAGAGGAAAGUGGAAUUCCUAGUGUAGCGGUGAAAUGCGUAGAUAUUAGGAGGAAUACCAGUGGCGAAGGCGACUUUCUGGACUUAAACUGACGCUGAGGAACGAAAGCGUGGGGAGCAAACAGGAUUAGAUACCCUGGUA
rnacentral:rRNA from 1 species